CGACUGGAUCACAGAAGGAACCCAGUUGACUGUGAUAACAUGUCAGGCUGUGAUAACCUCAAUGUUAUAGCGGGCUUGAAUCACACGAGUGCUUUUAACUACACCAACCAGGCAGGUACCCAGAGAAUUUUUACAGGGC